rnacentral:rRNA from 1 species
GGGAGAUGAAGGGAGCUUGCUCCUGGAUUCAGCGGCGGACGGGUGAGUAAUGCCUAGGAAUCUGCCUGGUAGUGGGGGAUAACGUCCGGAAACGGGCGCUAAUACCGCAUACGUCCUGAGGGAGAAAGUGGGGGAUCUUCGGACCUCACGCUAUCAAAUGAGCCUAGGUCGGAUUAGCUAGUUGGUGGGGUAAAGGCCUACCAAGGCGACGAUCCGUAACUGGUCUGAGAGGAUGAUCAGUCACACUGGAACUGAGACACGGUCCAGACUCCUACGGGAGGCAGCAGUGGGGAAUAUUGGACAAUGGGCGAAAGCCUGAUCCAGCCAUGCCGCGUGUGUGAAGAAGGUCUUCGGAUUGUAAAGCACUUUAAGUUGGGAGGAAGGGCAGUAAGUUAAUACCUUGCUGUUUUGACGUUACCAACAGAAUAAGCACCGGCUAACUUCGUGCCAGCAGCCGCGGUAAUACGAAGGGUGCAAGCGUUAAUCGGAAUUACUGGGCGUAAAGCGCGCGUAGGUGGUUCAGCAAGUUGGAUGUGAAAUCCCCGGGCUCAACCUGGGAACUGCAUCCAAAACUACUGAGCUAGAGUACGGUAGAGGGUGGUGGAAUUUCCUGUGUAGCGGYGAAAUGCGUAGAUAUAKGAAGGAACACCAGUGGCGAAGGCGACCACCUGCACUGAUACUGACACUGAUGUGCGAAAGCGUGGGGAGCAAACAGGAUUAGAUACCCUGGUAGUCCACGCCGUACACGAUGUCUACUACCCAUUGGGAUCCUUAAAAUCUAAUUCGCCCCCCUACCCCAUAACUCAAC